rnacentral:rRNA from 1 species
UACAGAGGGGGCAAGCGUUGUUCGGAAUUACUGGGCGUAAAGGGCGCGUAGGCGGCCCGCUAAGUCGAACGUGAAAUCCCCGAGCUCAACUCGGGAACUGCGUCCGAUACUGGCGGGCUUGAAUCCGGGAGAGGGAUGCGGAAUUCCAGGUGUAGCGGUGAAAUGCGUAGAUAUCUGGAGGAAUACCGGUGGCGAAGGCGGCAUCCUGGACCGAUAUUGACACUGAUGAGCGAAAGCUAGGGGAGCAAACGGG